GAAUAAGAAAUAUCUUUUUACAAAUUAAACUGUUGAAGAGAUUUCAACUGGGUUUGGAAUCCAAAUCAACUAAAUCUCUGGCAGAAUAUUUUCAGGAAAAAAAAAAAAAACAACCCUGGAACAUUUGAGAAUUACAGUUCUGUACCUCUGCAAAGAUUUUUAUGUUCUUCCAUUGGUGGGUGAGGGGGGCAAGAGGAAAUUUUCUGGGUAGGCUUACAAAAACAAGCUUUUUGAGAGCUUCUGAUGAUUCUGAGCUACGUUUCUAGACUGGGAUUUGAGUGUUUACACCGCUGUUUCUUGGAUAAUUAAAAAGGGCAGUGAAGGACCAUGAGCAAUUCUCCAAUGGUGAAGAUUGAUCCCAGUCAUGUAAAAAUAAGCUGCCACCUCUGGAGGACCUGAGAAACAUUGCCAAAAAAUAAGAGUUACUCUAAUAUUAAAAGGAGGACAGUCGGGAGUUGGAAGUCACAUCUUGCUUUUGUUUCUCGGAGUCUCUCUGGAGAAAGGAUUCUUCUAGAGCCCAUAAAACCAAAUCACGCAAGAUUGAAAAACAGGAUGAAAGAUUGAAAUUUUUGCCCAAAGGAAAGCUAACUGUGGAUCUCUGGGUGAAUCUUGGAGUCACUAACAUCUGUACUUUGCUUAGUCUAUUGAACAACAAUACCUAAUUUUUAAAACAUUAUUCUCAACCAAAAAGGUGAGGGAAUAGAUAUGGGUGCUUGCAAGGAAGUCUGCAGGGUAACUCCAUAUCAUGUCAAUCAUCACUUGUAAAAUACAUUGUUAAAGGCACUGGCCAGAAUGAAUAGACAAGAAUCACUAAGUAGUGCAAAGACAAAGCUGGUUUUGGGCAUUCUGGGUUCUCCUCUCUUCCCAUGACUAUGGGGAGCAGCUUGAAAGGUAGACCAUUUAGUUCCUCCUAACACAACCCCUGAUUCCCCAAUUUGAAAAUGAAAUGAAACAUCCUAUCAACAAAUAAAUGCCCAGAUGUUCCAGAUGAUGAAUGCAAUGUGCCCAGAAAUUCAAUACAUGGCAUCUCUUGGAUGAUUCAGAUGACAUGCAACUUGAAGCUGGCAUGAGAAACAAGAAAGAAACAGGCAUUCAGUCCAUCACAAGAAGGAAGAAAAUCUAGCACCUUUGUUUUCCUCUCCCUUGUAGAUAUCUACUCAGGAGCCAAUCAAAAACUGUAAUGUCAUUUCUAAUUUUUCUAAGUCUGUAUCCACAGAUAUACAAUCAAAUAAAUGUCAUUAAGUGAACAGAGAUCUUGAUCUCAUCAGCUUAAAUUGGUGAAUCUGGCCAGGGAUAUUUAUCACUCAAUCUCACUGCUUUUUCUUCUCAGAAGAAUUGCCAUUAUCAUUACCUCUGAAGAUGCAAGCAGCAUUUAAGUGAUAGCCACUUACCAUGGGAAAUGUUCCAGCCACAAUUAACUUCCCACUAUGAUAUUCAUCCCCAUUUUUGUAUGCAAUUAUUUUCACUGCCUUCUGGCGCAUGGCUGCUAUGCCACUGUGAGAUGCAGCUUGUGUGCAGGUCUUCAUCCGUAAAGACAAUAGACGUGCUUGGUAAUAACUUAGAGUUUUUUCAGCCUCGUCACACGAUAAAUCAACCUAAUUUAUUUUUUAAAAUAAAUUGAACAUUUACUCAAACUUUCUUGUUUUAGUUUGCUAUACUUCAGUCUCUUAAUUUAAUAAAUGUGUGUAUACAUGUGUGAUGUCUAAA